rnacentral:rRNA from 1 species
GUGAGGAAUAUUGGUCAAUGGGCGAGAGCCUGAACCAGCCAAGUAGCGUGAAGGAUGACUGCCUAUGGGUUGUAAACUUCUUUUAUAAAGGAAUAAGUCGGGUAUGGAUACCCGUUUGCAUGUACUUUAUGAAUAAGGAUCGGCUAACUCCGUGCCAGCCGCCGCGGUAAUACGGAGGAUUCGAGCGUUAUCCGGAUUUAUUGGGUUUAAAGGGAGCGUAGAUGGAUGUUUAAGUCAGUUGUGAAAGUUUGCGGCUUAACCGUAAAAUUGCAGUUGAUACUGGA